AUGCAACCCCCACCCCGAAAUAAAAGUUGCCUGCCUGUGCAUCACUUUGCAGACAGGCGACAGGCUCCGACAGAGCGCUCGGUACAGUGGCCGCUAGAUAAUGAGCGCUCCCUGGCUGCCGCGAUUCUGAAAAGUCCCCGGGGGGGGGGGGCAACUCACCUGUCCGGGGCUGGCGAGGGGAGCCGCGGGCUAGCCAGGGAGGGGGCUUCUCGCCCGCGUCCGAAGGAGCAUCGCUGGGCCUCGAUGCCGUCGGAGGAAUUCAGCCGCAGAGGCAAAAAGUCCCCGCGGUUUGCACUGCCAGCUCCACCGGAAUCCCUCCCAAAUACCAUACGGCUUCCCGCGGCAACCAGGAAAAUGUGA
rnacentral:lncRNA from 1 species